CGUGUAGGCGGCAAGGAAAGUCGGAUGUGAAAGCCCGGGGCCCAACCUCGGAACUGCAUUCGAAACUUCCUCGCUAGAGUCUCGGAGAGGAGAGCGGAAUUCCCGGUGUAGAGGUGAAAUUCGUAGAUAUCGGGAGGAACACCAGCGGCGAAGGCGGCUCUCUGGACGAUGACUGACGCUGAGACGCGAAAGCGUGGGGAGCAAACAGGAUUAGAUACCCUGGUAGUCC
rnacentral:rRNA from 1 species